ACAGCAGUCGCCGCGGGAAUACGUAGGGUGCAAGCGUUAAUCGGAAUUACUGGGCGUAAAGCGUGCGCAGGCGGUUAUAUAAGACAGAUGUGAAAUCCCCGGGCUCAACCUGGGAACUGCAUUUGUGACUGUAUAGCUAGAGUACGGCAGAGGGGGAUGGAAUUCCGCGUGUAGCAGUGAAAUGCGUAGAUAUGCGGAGGAACACCGAUGGCGAAGGCAAUCCCCUGGGCCUGUACUGACGCUCAUGCACGAAAGCGUGGGGAGCAAACAGGAUUAGAUACCCCCGUAGUCCCUGUCCUUAUACA
rnacentral:rRNA from 1 species